UACGGAGGAUGCAAGCGUUAUCCGGAAUGAUUGGGCGUAAAGCGUCCGCAGGUGGCAAUGUAAGUCUGCUGUUAAAGAGUCUAGCUCAACUAGAUAAAAGCAGUGGAAACUACAUAGCUAGAGUGCGUUCGGGGCAGAGGGAAUUCCUGGUGUAGCGGUGAAAUGCGUAGAGAUCAGGAAGAACACCGGUGGCGAAAGCGCUCUGCUAGGCCGCAACUGACACUGAGGGACGAAAGCUAGGGGAGCGAAUGGG
rnacentral:rRNA from 1 species